rnacentral:rRNA from 1 species
AGCAGCCGCGGUAAUUCCAGCUCCAAUAGCGUAUAUUAAAGUUGUUGCAGUUAAAAAGCUCGUAGUUGAAUUUCGGGAUCAAUACGUCGGUCGUGCCUUUGGUACGUACUGGCGUUGUUGAUUUCUCCCUUCUGAUGAACCACGAUGUCAUUAAUUUGGUGUUGUGGGGAGUCAGGACUGUUACUUUGAAAAAUUAGAGUGUUUAAAGCAGGCAAACGCUUGAAUACAUUAGCAUGGAAUAAUGAAAUAGGACGUUCGAACCUAUUUUGUUGGUUUCUAGGAUCAACGUAAUGAUUAAUAGGGAUAGUUGGGGCAUUAGUAUUCAAUUGUCAGAGGUGAAAUUCUUGGAUUUAUUGAAGACUAACUACUGCGAAAGCAUUUUGCCAAGGAUGUUUUCAUUAAUCAAGAACGAAAGUUAGGGGAUCGAAGACGAUCAGAUACCGUCGUAGU